UACGGGGGGGGCAAGCGUUGUUCGGAAUUACUGGGCGUAAAGGGCUCGUAGGCGGCCAACUAAGUCGGAUGUGAAAUCCCCAGGCUUAACCUGGGAACUGCAUCCGAUACUGGAUGGCUUGAAUCCGGGAGAGGGAUGCAGAAUUCCAGGUGUAGCGGUGAAAUGCGUAGAUAUCUGGAGGAAUACCGGUGGCGAAGGCGGAUCUCUGGACCUUACCUGACGCUGAGGCGCGAAAGCUAGGGGAGCGAACAGG
rnacentral:rRNA from 1 species